rnacentral:rRNA from 1 species
GAUGAACGCUAGCUACAGGCUUAACACAUGCAAGUCGAGGGGCAGCAUGAACUUAGCUUGCUAAGUUUGAUGGCGACCGGCGCACGGGUGAGUAACACGUAUCCAACCUGCCGAUGACUCGGGGAUAGCCUUUCGAAAGAAAGAUUAAUACAAGAUGUUAUCAUGAGUAAGCAUUUUCGCAUGAUUAAAGGUUUACCGGUGUAAGAUGGGGAUGCGUUCCAUUAGAUAGUAGGCGGGGUAACGGCCCACCUAGUCUUCGAUGGAUAGGGGUUCUGAGAGGAAGGUCCCCCACAUUGGAACUGAGACACGGUCCAAACUCCUACGGGAGCAGCAGUGAGGAAUAUUGGGUCAAUGGACGAGAGUCUGAACCAGCCAAGUAGCGUGAAGGAUG